rnacentral:rRNA from 1 species
CCUACGGGGGACAGCAGUGAGGAAUAUUGGUCAAUGGGCGCGAGCCUGAACCAGCCAAGUAGCGUGAAGGAUGACUGCCCUACGGGUUGUAAACUUCUUUUAUAAAGGAAUAAAGAGCGGCACGUGUCCCUCUUUGUGUGUACUUUAUGAAAAAGGAUCGGCUAACUCCGUGCCAGCAGCCGCGGUAAUACGGAGGAUCCGAGCGUUAUCCGGAUUUAUUGGGGUUAAAGGGAGCGUAGAGGGGUUGUUAAGUCAGCGGCGAAAGUUUGCGGCUCAACCGUAAAAUUGCAAUUGAUACUGGGUGUCUUGAGUACAGGUGAGGUAGGCGGAAUUCGUGGUGUAGCGGUGAAAUGCUUAGAUAUCACGAAGAACUCCGAUUGCGAAGGCAGCUUACUAGACUGCCACUGACAUUGAUGCUCGAAAGUGUGGGUAUCAAACAGGAUUAGAUACCCCAGUAGUC